AUCCAACUGACGAGUCCCAAACAGAACGAAAGACGCGUCCUAGAU
rfam:Schistosoma haematobium scaffold521_4, whole genome shotgun sequence.